CCACCUGCUCUCCAUCUUGGGUCCUGUCCAUGUAUGUGUUCCGCGCUCGCCCAGAAGUUCGGAGAAGUCGCCGCGUGUCCCAUUUCUCCACUGAGAACCACAGUGAGGGCUCUGGGUGUCCCGGAACCCUGAAAUGGGGUUGGUGUCAUUCGAGGACGUAGCUGUGGACUUCACCUUGGAGGAGUGGCAGGACCUGAAUGCUGCCCAGAGGACCCUGUACAGGGACGUGAUGCUGGAGAACUACAGGAGCCUAGUGUUCCUGGGGCACUGUAUGAACAAACCUGAGUUGAUCUUCAAGUUGGAGCAAGGACUUGGGCCAUGGAAUGUAGCAGAAGCCUCGGGCAGGAGCCUCCCAGGUCAGUGAAGGCAAGGAAGGUCGGCAGGAAGAAAGUUCAUCCGCCAUUGCCCAUGUUGAGCUUUCUUUACCUACUUUUAUCAAAACCCAC
rnacentral:lncRNA from 1 species